rnacentral:rRNA from 1 species
GAUGAACGCUGGCGGCGUGCCUAAUACAUGCAAGUCGAGCGAACAGACGAGGAGCUUGCUCCUCUGACGUUAGCGGCGGACGGGUGAGUAACACGUGGAUAACCUACCUAUAAGACUGGGAUAACUCCGGGAAACCGGAGCUAAUACCGGAUAAUAUAUUGAACCGCAUGGUUCAAUAGUGAAAGUCGGUUUUGCUGUCAGUUAUCGAUGGAUCCGCGCCGCAUUAGCUAGUUGGUAAGGUAACGGCUUACCAAGGCAACGAUGCGUAGCCGACCUGAGAGGGUGAUCGGCCACACUGGAACGUGGACGCGGUCCAGGCGCCUACGGGACGCAGCAGUAGGGAAUGUUCCGCAAUAGGCGAGAGCCUUACGGAGCGACGCGGCGUGAGAGAUGAAGGUGUUGGGAUCGUAAAACUGGGUUAUUGGUGAAGAACAAAUGUGUAAGUAACUAUGCACGUCUUGACGGUACCUAAUCAGAAAGCCACGGCUAACUACGUG